rnacentral:tRNA from 4 species
GGGCCUGUAGCUCAGCUGGGAGAGCGCCUGCAUGGCAUGCAGGAGGUCAGCGGUUCGAUCCCGCUCAGGUCCACCA